rnacentral:rRNA from 1 species
GAUGAACGCUAGCGGCAGGCCUAAUACAUGCAAGUCGGACGGGAUUGGAGAGCUUGCUUUCCAUGAGAGUGGCGCACGGGUGCGUAACACGUAUGUAACCUACCUUGUUCAGGGGGAUAGCCUCUCGAAAGAGAGAUUAAGACCGCAUAACAUUGCGAUGUGGCAUCACAUUGUAAUCAAAUAUUUAUAGGAACAAGAUGGGCAUGCGGAACAUUAGCUAGUUGGUAAGGUAACGGCUUACCAAGGCUACGAUGUUUAGGGGAGCUGAGAGGAUGACCCCCCACACUGGUACUGAGACACGGACCCGACUCCUACGGGAGGCAGCAGUAAGGAAUAUUGGUCAAUGGGCGGAAGCCUGAACCAGCCAUGCCGCGUGCAGGAAGACGGCCCUAUGGGUUGUAAACUGCUUUUGCAGGGGAAUAAACCUUGGUACGUGUACCAAGCUGAAUGUACUCUGAGAAUAAGGAUCGGCUAACUCCGUGCCAGCAGCCGCCGUAA